rnacentral:rRNA from 1 species
AACCUCCGCAAUGUGAGAAAUCGCGACGGGGGGAUCCCAAGUGCCAUUCUUAACGGGAUAGCUUUUCAUUAGUGUAAAAAGCUUUUGGAAUAAGAGCUGGGCAAGACCGGUGCCAGCCGCCGCGGUAACACCGGCAGCUCUAGUGGUAGCUGUUUUUAUUGGGCCUAAAGCGUUCGUAGCCGGUUUGAUAAGUCACCGGUGAAAUCCUGUAGCUUAACUGUGGGAAUUGCUGGUGAUACUGUUGAACUUGAGGUCGGGAGAGGUUAGCGGUACUCCCAGGGUAGAGGUGAAAUUCUGUAAUCCUGGGAGGACCGCCUGUUGCGAAGGCGUCUAACUGGAACGGUUCUGACGGUGAGGGACGAAAGUUAGGGGCGCGAACCGGAUUAGAUACCCGGGUAGUCCUAACUAGAAACGAUGCGGACUUGGUGUUGGGGUGGCUUUGAGCUGCUCCAGUGCCGAAGGGAAGCUGUUAAGUCCGCCGCCUGGGAAGUACGGUCGCAAGACUGAAACUUAAAGGAAUU